UAUACCCUGGUAGUCCAUGCUGUAAACGAUGUCGACUUGGAGGUUGUUCCCUUGAGGAGUGGCUUCCGGAGCUAACGCGUUAAGUCGACCGCCUGGGGAGUACGGCCGCAAGGUUAAAACUCAAAUGAAUUGACGGGGGCCCGCACAAGCGGUGGAGCAUGUGGUUUAAUUCGAUGCAACGCGAAGAACCUUACCUACUCUUGACAUCCAGAGAACUUAGCAGAGAUGCUUUGGUGCCUUCGGGAACUCUGAGACAGGUGCUGCAUGGCUGUCGUCAGCUCGUGUUGUGAAAUGUUGGGUUAAGUCCCGCAACGAGCGCAACCCUUAUCCUUUGUUGCCAGCGGUUCGGCCGGGAACUCAAAGGAGACUGCCAGUGAUAAACUGGAGGAAGGUGGGGAUGACGUCAAGUCAUCAUGGCCCUUACGAGUAGGGCUACACACGUGCUACAAUGGCAUAUACAAAGAGAAGCGACCUCGCGAGAGCAAGCGGACCUCAUAAAGUAUGUCGUAGUCCGGAUCGGAGUCUGCAACUCGACUCCGUGAAGUCGGAAUCGCUAGUAAUCGUGGAUCAGAAUGCCACGGUGAAUACGUUCCCGGGCCUUGUACACACCGCCCGUCACACCAUGGGAGUGGGUUGCAAAAGAAGUAGGUAGCUUAAC
rnacentral:rRNA from 1 species